GCCAGUGUGGUGUAGUGGUUUGAGCUUUGGACUAUGAGUUUGGAGGUGAGGGUUCGAAUCCCUGCUCAGCCA